GGUGAAAACGGAAACCGAGUUCAGGAAGAUGUCGUACGGAGUCCGAGGUGGACAAAACGUCGCUGUCGCAGCUAUUGAUGGAUGACGUCCCAAAUCUGUUUAGCCCUCGCACAUUCUUGCCAUUCUCGCCUGCAUUUGUUUCACCCAGUCACGAGCUCUCAGUUUGCCACAAUCCUCCAAAAGUAUUGAAACAGUCCAAAUAAAUAAAAAAAAUCAAGCUGAGACAAGAGAUGAAGAUUGCAGCUCUUAUUUUUCAAGUAUUUACAUCUGAAUCUGAGACCCAAUUUAAAAGAUUAGAAGCAUUAUUUAUAACAAACCACUUUUUAUAAUUUUUUUUUUUUAGCAAACUCAUUGGAACACUUGAAUUUAAGAGAUGAAAAUCGUUUGCUUUCAUUCGCUGCAUCGAGCCCGCGACCCAUUGACACGGGCAAAGUUUGACAUUUUUCGGUCAUGUUGCCGUUUGCUUUCAGGAGCUGCUCCCUUCAGUCUCCUCUUCAGCAGACUCGAGAGUGAAUUUGCUGGUUGUAAUCAAGUGUUACGUCAAUGAAGAUCAACGAGGUUGUCCCAGAAGAAGCCACGUGA